UACAGAGGGUGCGAGCGUUGUCCGGAAUCACUGGGCGUAAAGGGCGCGUAGGUGGCGCCGCAAGUCCAUGGUGAAAGCUCGAUGCUCAACAUCGAGUCGGCCACGGGGACUGCGGGGCUCGAGCACUGUAGGGGCAGAUGGAAUUCCGGGUGUAGUGGUGAAAUGCGUAGAGAUCCGGAGGAACGCCUGUGGCGCAAGCGGCCACCUGGGCCUUAUCUGACGCUGAGGGACGAAAGCGUGGGGAGCAAACCGG
rnacentral:rRNA from 1 species